AACUAAAUUAGAUUUGGAUGUGAGGAAGAAAGAAAGAAGAACUCUUUGGCAUAAAAAAUCUCAUGUGAAAACUAUUUGUGUGUGGAGAUAGAUAGCAUGCAAAGUGGGUUGGCGUAAGGGAGAAGAGUCCAAUCCUAUAUGGACUCUUUAUUUUUUUAUUUGAAUCCAAACCAAAUUUGAUUUAGCCCAAAUAAAAUAGAUGAAACUUAAUCUAAUUAGAUUUAUAAAUUUUUAAUUAAAUCUUAAUCAAAUUAAAAAUUAAUUGAAUCAAAGUCCUGAUCAAAUCAGAGAUAAUUCUCCCUUAGCAAUUAGG
rnacentral:lncRNA from 1 species